GAGGCAGCAGUGGGGAAUAUUGGACAAUGGGCGCAAGCCUGAUCCAGCCAUGCCGCGUGUGUGAAGAAGGCUUUCGGGUUGUAAAGCACUUUCAGUGGGGAAGAAGGCCUGGCGGUCAAUACCCGCCAGGGACGACAUCACCCACAGAAGAAGCACCGGCUAACUCCGUGCCAGCAGCCGCGGUAAUACGGAGGGUGCGAGCGUUAAUCGGAAUUACUGGGCGUAAAGCGCGCGUAGGCGGCCAAGUAAGCCGGUUGUGAAAGCCCCGGGCUCAACCUGGGAAUGGCAUCCGGAACUGGUUGGCUAGAGUGCAGGAGAGGAAGGUAGAAUUCCCGGUGUAGCGGUGAAAUGCGUAGAGAUCGGGAGGAAUACCAGUGGCGAAGGCGGCCUUCUGGACUGACACUGACGCUGAGGUGCGAAAGCAUGGGUAGCAAACAGGAUUAGAUACCCUGGUAGUCCAUGCCGUAAACGAUGUCGACUAGCCGUUGGGUCCCUUGAGGACUUGGUGGCGCAGUUAACGCGAUAAGUCGACCGCCUGGGGAGUACGGCCGCAAGGUUAAAACUCAAAUGAAUUGACGGGGGCCCGCACAAGCGGUGGAGCAUGUGGUUUAAUUCGAUGCAACGCGAAGAACCUUACCUACCCUUGACAUCCUGCGAACC
rnacentral:rRNA from 1 species